GACGAACGCUGGCGGCGUGCCUAACACAUGCAAGUCGAGCGAAGUUAUUCCUUCGGGAAUAACUUAGCGGCGGACGGGUGAGUAACACGUGGGUAACCUGCCUUAUAGAGGGGGAUAGCCUUCCGAAAGGAAGAUUAACACCGCAUAACAUUGAGUUUUCGCAUGGAAGCUUAAUCAAAGGAGUAAUCCGCUAUAAGAUGGACCCGCGGCGCAUUAGCUAGUUGGUGAGGUAACGGCUCACCAAGGGGACGAUGCGUAGCCGACCUGAGAGGGUGAUCGGCCACAUUGGGACUGAGACACGGCCCAGACUCCUACGGGAGGCAGCAGUGGGGAAUAUUGCACAAUGGGGGAAACCCUGAUGCAGCAACGCCGCGUGAGUGAUGAAGGCCCUCGGGUUGUAAAGCUCUGUCUUUGGGGACGAUAAUGACGGUACCCAAGGAGGAAGCCACGGCUAACUACGUGCCAGCAGCCGCCGUAAAAC
rnacentral:rRNA from 1 species